rnacentral:rRNA from 1 species
UAGCUUGCUCUUAUGAAGUUAGCGGCGGACGGGUGAGUAACACGUGGGUAACCUGCCCAUAAGACUGGGAUAACUCCGGGAAACCGGGGCUAAUACCGGAUAACAUUUUGAACCGCAUGGUUCGAAAUUGAAAGGCGGCUUCGGCUGUCACUUAUGGAUGGACCCGCGUCGCAUUAGCUAGUUGGUGAGGUAACGGCUCACCAAGGCAACGAUGCGUAGCCGACCUGAGAGGGUGAUCGGCCACACUGGGACUGAGACACGGCCCAGACUCCUACGGGAGGCAGCAGUAGGGAAUCUUCCGCAAUGGACGAAAGUCUGACGGAGCAACGCCGCGUGAGUGAUGAAGGCUUUCGGGUCGUAAAACUCUGUUGUUAGGGAAGAACAAGUGCUAGUUGAAUAAGCUGGCACCUUGACGGUACCUAACCCACAAAGCCACGGCUAACUACCUGCCAGCAGCCGCGGUAAUACG